UUACGACCAUAUCACAUUGAAACGCCGGUUCUCGUAAGAUCAGCGAAGUUAAGCAACGUCGAGCCCGUUCAGUACCUAGAUAGGUGACCGCUUGAGAAUACCAGGUACUGA